rnacentral:rRNA from 1 species
UACGGAAGGCAGCAGUGGGGAAUAUUGCACAAUGGGCGAAAGCCUGAUGCAGCUAUGCCGCGUGUAUGAAGAAGGCCUUAGGGUUGUAAAGUACUUUCAUCGGGGAGGAAAAAACAAAACUAAUAAUUUUAUUUCUUGACGUUACCCGAAAAAGAAGCACCGGCUAACUCCGUGCCAGCAGCCGCGGUAAUAUGGAGGGUGCUAGCGUUAAUCAGAAUUACUGGGCGUAAAGAGCACGUAGGUGGUUUUUUUAAGUUCAGAUGUGAAAUCCCUGGGCUUAACCUAGGAACUGCAUUUUGAAACUGAAAUACUAGAGUAUCGUAGAGGGAGGUAGAAUUCUAGGUGUAGCGGUGAAAUGCGUAGAUAUCUGGAGGAAUACCUGUGGCGAAAGCGGCCUCCUAAACGAAUACUGACACUGAGGUGCGAAAAGCGUGGGGAGCAAAACAGGGAUUAGAUACC